rnacentral:tRNA from 1 species
GCCUGGGUAGCUCAGCUAGUUGAGCGUCUGACUUUGGCUCAGGUCGUGAUCCCGCCGUUCUUGGGUUUGAGACCCUCCUCAGGCU